rnacentral:rRNA from 1 species
UGGGGAAUAUUGCACAAUGGGCGCAAGCCUGAUGCAGCAACGCCGCGUGAGGGACGACGGCCUUCGGGUUGUAAACCUCUUUUGGCAGGGAAGAAGCGAAAGUGACGGUACCUGCAGAAAAAGCACCGGCUAACUACGUGCCAGCAGCCGCGGUGAUACGUAGGGUGCAAGCGUUGUCCGGAAUUAUUGGGCGUAAAGAGCUCGUAGGCGGUUUGUCGCGUCUGCUGUGAAGACCCGAGGCUCAACCUCGGGCCUGCAGUGGGUACGGGCAAACUAGAGUGCGGUAGGGGAGAUUGGAAUUCCUGGUGUGGCGGUAGAAUGCGCAGAUAUCAGGAGGAACACCGAUGGCGAAGGCAGAUCUCUGGGCCGUAACUGACGCUGAGGAGCGAAAGCAUGGGGAGCGAACA